rnacentral:lncRNA from 1 species
GACAGGUUUUUACUAUUGGAGCUGGUGUCUUUUGUCUGUGGUGUUUGCAGAGGAUCAGAAUUCCUGAGUUGGGAAUGCUGUGCCACAGCCUAUACUUCACGAAAAUAUUUCUGGUCUUGCAAAACAUGUGGAGGCACUUGCUAUUUUAAAUCUUUGCCUACAACAAGAGUGUAAGGUGAUUACCCAAAUGGAAUACCUCUGUCUCUCAGGACACAGAGAAUUUCUUCAUAUCACAAAGGGUGAGACACACAGACAAGAGUGCUGCUGUGUUGGUACAAUCAGUGUCGC